rnacentral:rRNA from 1 species
GACGAACGCUGGCGGCGUGCUUAACACAUGCAAGUCGAACGGAAAGGCCCUGCUUUUGUGGGGUGCUCGAGUGGCGAACGGGUGAGUAACACGUGAGUAACCUGCCCUUUACUUUGGGAUACCUUCAGGAAACUGGGGCUAAUACCGGAUAGGAGCUCCUGCUGCAUGGUGGGUGUUUGAAAGUUUCGGUGGUUGGGGAUGGACUCGCGGCUUAUCAGCUUGUUGGUGGGGUAGUGGCUUACCAAGGCUUGGACGGGUAGCCGGCCUGAGAGGGUGACCGGCCACAUUGGGAAUGAGAUACGGCCCAGAGUCAUACGGGAGGCAGAAGUGGGGAAUAUUGCACAAUGGGCGGAAGCCUGAUGCAGCAACGCCGCGUGCGAGAUGACGGCCUUCGGGUUGUAAACCGCUUUCGCCUGUGACGAAGCGUGAGUGACGGUAAUGGGUAAAGAAGCACCGGCUAACUACGUG